rnacentral:rRNA from 1 species
GUCCUUUAGAUUUAGAAUUUAAGGUUUAAUUUGCCCACUGAGAUAUUGAAUGGCCGCAGUAAUUUGACUGUGCAAAGGUAGCAUAAUCAAUAGUUUUUUAAUUAAAAGCUUGAAUGAAUGAUUGGACGAGAUAAAGUCUGUCUUUAAUUAUUAAUUAGAAUUUAAUUUUUAAGUUAAAAAGCUUAAAUAUUUAUAAAAGACGAGAAGACCCUAUAGAUCUUUAUUUAAUUAAUUUUAUUUUUAAUAAGGAUUAUUUUAUUAGUUAAUUUUAAUUGAAUUUUGUUGGGGUAAUAGAAAGAUAAAAAUAAUUCUUUUAUUUAUUUACAAAGAUUAUUGGUUAUUUGAUCCUUAAAUUAAGAUUAAAAGUUUAAGUUACCUUAGGGAUAACAGCGUAAUUUUUUUAGAGAGUUCAUAUCGAUAAAAAAGUUUGCGACCUCGAUGUUGGAUUAAAAAUUAUUCUAGGUGAAGAAGUUUAGAGAUUUGGUCUGUUCCACCAUUAAAUUUUU